rnacentral:misc_RNA from 1 species
CGCACCUUGCGCCUAGCGGCUUCGGCCCGGGCAUGCCUGUUUGAGCGCCUUAAUACACUGCUGCACGACUUGUUCGUGAAGCGAUUUGAGCGCCUGCGACUUACCCUCGCUCGCUCUAAUAGCAUUCGUGGCAGAAGGCACGGCUUCGUGAUGUAAUAAGUAUUUCAUUGCGAGGACGGAGCCCGGACGCUUCCCAACCGCCCUCGGGCAACUCUUUAAUGCUAGGCAUCAAAUCAGGUAGGACUACCCGCUGAACUUAA